GACGAACGCUGGCGGCGUGCUUAACACAUGCAAGUCGAACGGUAAGGCCUUCGGGUACACGAGUGGCGAACGGGUGAGUAACACGUGGGUGAUCUGCCCCCUACUCUGGGAUAAGCCUGGGAAACUGGGUCUAAUACCGGAUAUGACCUCCUUCUGCAUGGUUGGUGGGGGAAAGUUUUUUCGGUAGGGGAUGAGCCCGCGGCCGAUCAGCUUGUUGGUGGGGUAAGGGCCUACCAAGGCGACGACGGGUAGCCGGGUUGAGAGAGUGAUCGGACACAGUGGGACUGAGACCCGGCCCAUAAGCCUGCGGGAGGCAGCAGUAGGUAAUUUUGCGCAAUGGGCGAAAGACGGACGCAGCAACACCGCGUGAGUGAUUAAGCCCCGUGGGGUGUAAAACUCUGUCAGUGGGGACGAAUAUUGACGGUACCCACAAAGGAAGCAUCGGCUAACUACGUGCCAGCAGCCGCGGUAACAC
rnacentral:rRNA from 1 species